rnacentral:rRNA from 1 species
AACGAACGCUGGCGGCAUGCCUAACACAUGCAAGUCGAACGAGACCUUCGGGUCUAGUGGCGCACGGGUGCGUAACGCGUGGGAACCUGCCCUUAGGUUCGGAAUAACUCCCCGAAAGGGGUGCUAAUACCGGAUAAUGUCUUCGGACCAAAGAUUUAUCGCCUUUGGAUGGGCCCGCGUUGGAUUAGCUAGUUGGUAGGGUAAAAGCCUACCAAGGCGACGAUCUAUAGCUGGUCUGAGAGGAUGAUCAGCUACACUGGGACUGAGACACGGCCCAGACUCCUACGGGAGGCAGCAGUGGGGAAUAUUGGACAAUGGGCGAAAGCCUGAUCCAGCAAUGCCGCGUGAGUGAUGAAGGCCUUAGGGUUGUAAAGCUCUUUUACCCGGGAUGAUAAUGACAGUACCGGGAGAAUAAGCUCCGGCUAACUCCGUG